ensembl:lncRNA
GGACUCUUUUGAUUUGGGCCAGUUAGUAACCUGCCUAUUAAUCACUCCGAACAACCACAGUAGCAUCAUUGCAGUGAGUUUUGCAUGGGCAUGCAGUUUAGUUUUACAUAAUGGUGCAUAUCAGUAUUAUUAUCUUUGCACAGCUUAUUUGGAUUAAUAAUGUAUCAGUUAUAGUUUGUUAAUUCAGUGUUACAGCUGAUGGAUGUCAGAUAAGUUACAUCCACAGUGACUGAUUGACUACAGAACCCCACUUACAUAACAGUAAAUAUCAGUGUACCUCUACAUUUAGACAAGCACAUGACCUCUUUCCAGACACAGUGGCCCAGUGCAUUGUGACGCUCCAGUUUGGACAGAGGAGGGCUUUGAAUGAAGCUGACUGUAGCUGGAACUGAAACCGAAACCAGAGAAAGUAAGACAACACGAGCAGUUGGGCCAGGCUUGGGUGUCCGUAUCUAGUACAGCGUAUGGGUUUAAAUAGGAACUAGAGUUCUGAAUGGGAGCCAGUGAAAUAGUAGAUCAGCAGGUGACUUCAAACACAGCCUGUGGAUUUAGCAAAGCCCUGUUUCUGUUUUUCUACAUGAUAUCACAGAACUGUUUGACACGCUAUCAUGGACUAGGAUUAGCGGGAAAUGAAACAUUGUCCAGAGCUGAAGGAUUCCUGCGUGCCGAAGGGAGGACAGGCGGAGGGAGGGGUGUGUGAUAGGAUGAUGAGGGGCAGACGUGGGGAAAGCGUGCUAUCAAAGCUGAAGGAAUGCAGAAGUAGACUGAUGCAGUCUGGAGUUCAGUCUGUCCUCUAAACACCUAAUUACAACCAACAGACCAGAGACAGAGAGACACUCUCCAUACGAUGACCUCCACAUGGCAGUUUGGACACCAUUGCUGGAAACAGUCUGAUCAGAAAGGAAAAUCAGUAAUGAGAGAUCUUUAAUAUCAUUGUUGUUUUUCUAGAUAGCAAAGAGAUAACAUGGAGAUCAAUUUGACAAGGGAAUCAUCUGUCAUCAGUUCACUCGCUAUUAUGUCCUUCCAUUUUGAAGAGAUUUUUUCCCAGUUGUGCUGCACCAAAAUAAUAAUGCAUAAGAUUCAGGCCAGUAUAACCUCGUAAUAAACUCAUCUGAGCUGCUCUCCA